AGUGGGAUGGAGCAGUGGUAGCUCAUCGGGUUCAUACCCCGAAGGUCGGCGGUUCGAGUCCGCCUCCCGCCACCA
rnacentral:tRNA from 1 species